UACGGGGGGGGGCAAGCGUUGUUCGGAAUUACUGGGCGUAAAGGGCUCGUAGGCGGCCAACUAAGUCAGACGUGAAAUCCCUAGGCUCAACCUAGGAACUGCGUCUGAUACUGGAUGGCUUGAGUUUGGGAGAGGGAUGCGGAAUUCCAGGUGUAGCGGUGAAAUGCGUAGAUAUCUGGAGGAACACCGGUGGCGAAGGCGGCAUCCUGGACCGACACUGACGCUGAGGAGCGAAAGCCAGGGGAGCAAACGGG
rnacentral:rRNA from 1 species